GAUGAACGCUGGCGGCGUGCUUAACACAUGCAAGUCGAACGGGAAACCUUUUAUUGAAGCUUCGGCAGAUUUAGCUGGUUUCUAGUGGCGGACGGGUGAGUAACGCGUGGGUAACCUGCCUUAUACAGGGGGAUAACAACCAGAAAUGGUUGCUAAUACCGCAUAAGCGCACAGGACCGCAUGGUCCGGUGUGAAAAACUCCGAUGGUAUAAGAUGGACCCGCGUUGGAUUAGCUAGUUGGCAGGGUAACGGCCUACCAAGGCGACGAUCCAUAGCCGGCCAGAGAGGGUGAGCGGCCACAUUGGGACUGGGACGCGGCCCAGACUCCUACGGGAGGGAGCAGUGGGGAAUAUUGCACAAUGGGGGAAGCCCUGAUGCAGCGACGCCGCGAGAAGGAAGAAGUAUCUCGGUAUGUAAACUUCUAUCAGCAGGGAAGAUAGUGACGGUACCUGACUAAGAAGCCCCGGCUAACUACGUG
rnacentral:rRNA from 1 species